GGCUGGCUUCCAGGCCUCAGGGUGUGGAUGGCCGUGGGAAUGAAGCACCUGUAACUGGGCCCUUCCUGCCCUAAUGUUCAGGGGGCCCUACCCCUUGUGAGCUUGUCUUAUUAAGAAACCCUCAAAAGGCCUAAGUUAACCAGCAGGUCCAAAGGUCCCAAGGAACAAGGUCCGAGACGACAGGGAAAAGAGGUGAGCUGUGCAGGACUAGCACUGGGAAAACCAGCAAUUUGUAUUAUAAAGUGUGUGCCUGUGCAAAGUGCUCCAACUGCUUUUUUGGGUCAACUUCAGGCCUUGCCUCUUCCCUAUCACCAUCGUCUCCAUCAACACCCUCUUUCUUUUCCAACAUCUCCUGGUGCCUUAGGAAUCAGACGCCAAUAAACCACAGAGCCCAGCAUGUCCACCCUCGCUUUUAUUGAGUAGUUAGUGUUCUCAAGCCGGCUCACACCUAUGCGGUCAGCUGGGGCCUAGGGUGGCUCUUUGCAAAGCUGAGGGGCAAGCUAAGGAAGCCAGGCAGGUCAGGGGCCCUUUCGGCCUUCUCAAGCCUCCACCUGAGUUCUCGUCAAUGCUAGUCUCCCUGGUAUGAUUGGGGACAUUAUCAGAGAAACAUCUAAUAGCACACAUCUGGGCACCCACACUCUGCUUCAUUUGCAUCCAUCCUCCCACGCCAAAUUCAGCUCCUGACCCAAAAUACAAAAGACUUUUUUAACCAGGAUUUCUUCUUGCAGGAAAGCUGACUUGGAAACACGGGGAGGUGGCAGGGAGGGGCAAAAAGGACUCUGGCAAGCAGAUCCACUUGUCUGGGUCCCUGCAGUGAAGAACCCAAGAUCCAGGUACCUCAGCCUGGAAGAAACCGUGCACUGCAGGUCUUCCCUUCUCUCGAAACUAAAAGCAAGGAACAGAAGUCAAUUGAAACCCCAGGUCAUCCUACCCACCUUCUGGCAGUCUCUGGAUAAUGAUCUAAGGAAAUAAGCUUACAUUUAUAAUUAGAGGAUAAUUUGGAGAAUUUACACUAUUUACACGGGCCACCCUGCAAAGAUCAGGGAAGGCUGGAUUUCUUCCUCCUUGAUAGACUGAACUGGAAGCAAAGGAGAAAGCCCUUCUCCAAACAGGAGUUUCUCCUCUUUCCCUGGUCCUGCAGAAGAAAGAGGAGCUAUCCCCUCCUCAGCUAGCAGUACCUGAAAGGGAAACAGAGACAAGGUGAAAGGGAACUCUGGCUUCAACCAACGGUCACCAGACAGGACGCACAAAAAAAUCACAUACUGGUUCUGAUCCUCUUUGUGUCGUUUUAAAAUCUUAAAAUCUAUUAAAUAUGAGAAUACAA
rnacentral:sRNA from 1 species